UCACCAGGUCAGGACACGGUAAGGAUUGACGGACUGAAGGCUCUUUCUCGAUUCCGUGGAAAGUGGUGCAUGGCCGUUUUGGUUGGUGGAUCGAUCCGUCUGGUUAAUUCCGUUAACGAACGAGACCUCGGCACUCCGAAUAGCGCGGCGGACGUCGCGGCCUCCGGGCCGUCUUCCGCACGAGCUUCUUAGAGGGACCGUCCCCCGCCGGGGAAGGAGGUGCGAGGCAACGACAGGUCUGUGAUGCCCUUAGAUGUUCUGGGCCGCACGCGCAUUACACUGACGCGUCCAACGGGUGACUCCCGACCCGAAGGGGCCGGGGAAUCCGCAAGGCGCGUCGUGAUGGGGAUUGAACGUUGCAAUUGUUGUUCACGAACGAGGAAUUCCUAGUAGGCGCGGGUCAUCAACCCGCGCCGAUUACGUCCCUGCCC
rnacentral:rRNA from 1 species